UAUCGGACUCAGUGAUCUUUAAGGUCUUUUACAACCUGUGCUAUUCUAUGAUUCUAUAACUCUCUUCACUCAAUGCAAUCAAGACAAGCCAAACAGCUGGAUAACGAGUUAAACAUUCCAACUUUUAAUAGGACUUGAAGCCUUGCAAAGCACUGCAUUUGUAGCAGUGAAGAAUUCUUUCAGUGGAAUUUGACCAAAAAUAUAAAUAACAGCUGCCUACUGAGAGCAUGGGAGGCGUAAGCUGACUUUUCUUCCAGGUGCUCAGUGCUGGAAGGACCUGAGGCACCGGGCUCACACUAGAGCAUUGACAACUCCCAGCCAGGCAAAAGGAAAGGACUGCCAACACAAGGGUGCUCAGACAUGGAACUGGCACCCAGAAAGGCUGCAUCCCAACUUAGCUGAAUCAAGCCCAUGGCACCGACAAUCAAUCUUCUAAAGGGGCCAUCUGCACCAGAGACCUUCACAAAAAAGGAUGAGCCAAAGGGAGAAAAGCUACAAAAUGGCUGAGAGGGGACACCUGCCCUGUUAGCUCACUGGGCAGCUUAAUAAUUGCUACUGCCUCUGCCCUCUAGACAAGGUGUGAAAGCAAAACACUGCAAAUAUCCAGGAGAAAGGGACACACUGGGAUCACCUGGUACUAUGUUAGCAUAGGCACAGCAAGCCAUCACCUGACGUGUGAAUACAACUGGCAUUCGUCUUGGUUCAUCAACGAUCUGUAUGUGCUCUUGGCACACUGUUUGCAAUUCAGUCACUACAAAGGAAACAAACGUCUCCCUUUCCUCUUCACCUGAUGGUAGGGGCUGAACACUUCCACGCUGCUUGACAUACACUGGGGUCAACUGAUGGGGGGGCUGCCAUCUACACACCCGUGCCCCUAAGCUCUCUUCUCAAGAGCGCUAUACCAGAGACUGCAGAGAUCAAAUCUGUCCAAACUACUUCUCAGGAGGGAUGGCAAAGGACAGCCAAUACAAACACAGAAACUCCACCGUUUUUAAUGACUGCCUCUCCCUUGGCUGCCUGUGGGGUGUCAGCAUGCUUUGCUUCUCCCCUGCUGCUGUCAGCACCAGGACAGCCCACCCCAGGCAGCUGCAGGUUGCUUGAGAAGCACCCUGCCCCGACUGACCCUCUUGCUACAUUCUUGCCACUGCCUCCGAGAAAUGGCCGCAGGCCCCAACGGCCAGCCGCCAUGUUUGGGCCAGCACCUGGCACUCAGAAUCCUGUCGCCAUGGGCACCAAACUGCCCUCAACUGCAGUCCCUGAGCUGACACAGCCGGAGGCAGCAGAAUACCUGAUCUCUCUAAGAGAUAGUUUGUAUUUCUUGUUAUUUUCGAGGACGGGAUGGAGCAGCCACCUUUAAAGAAGAGGCGGCUACUGGAAGAGGCUGAUGACAUCAAGCCCAUGGAGGUGGACCCGCCUGGCAGCCAAGAGGAGCCCAUGGAGGUGGAUCCACCUGUGGCAGAUGAGCUGAUGGAAGUGGAUCCACCUCCAUCGGGGCAGACUGGCCAUCUCUCUGCUGCUGCCAGGCCAACCAGGAAGAGGUCGCGCCCCAAAUUUCAUCGCAGGGGCGCCAGGAUCCGUCCACCUCCUGCGAAAUGGCCGCCUCGACGCUGGCGCUGAUCCUCCCGUCCUCCAAGGCUCCUAUGAGCCCUUCCUUCCCCAUCCCUCUCCCUUGUCCCUUCCCAAGUCCUCUCAUCUCUUCUUCACUAAGUCCUGAGGAAGAGGGCAGGGCAGGGACUGCCAUCCUCAGAGCUGCUGUGCCGGGGCAGCGGGACGAGUCUGGUGGAGGGACCUCAACUGCCAGGGGUCUUGAACAUCUCAGGGGCAUGAAGAUCCCCCACAGAUCCGAUGAACCCAUCCUUCAUGUCCCACUCCCUCAUUCCUGCCCAGAGGGAGAGAAGGGAUAAAAAGAAGUCACAGAUGCAGCUGCUCCCGUGUUGAAGCAGACUUCA